UUUUUUUUUUUUUUUUUGCGAUAGAAUCUCGCACUGUCGCCCAGGCUGGAGUCCAGUGGCACAAUCUUGGCUCACUGCAACCUCUGACUCCCAGGUUCAAGUGAUUCUCCUGCCUCAGCCUCCUGAGUAGCUGGGUUACAGAUGCAUGCCACCACGCCCGCCUAAUUUUUGUAUUUUUAGUAGAGACGGGUUUUCAGGCUGGUCUCAAACUCCUGACCUAGAGAUCUGCUGGCCUCGGCCUCCCAAAGUGCUGGUAUUACAGGCAUGAGCCACGCCCAGCCCUGCAACAUUUUCUAAGUCAGUACAGUAGUUCUUUGAACCACCUUUUCAGUCAAAGAACUCAUGAAAAAGUCCUCCAAGAACUUGUGACCUUCUGGAAUUGUCAAAAUCUCUACAGGUGUCCAGAGUCAUCCAGAGCUGUAUUGCAAACCACUGACUGGGUUCCACCAUUAUUAAAGCAAAUGCAAAAUAUGCCAUGCCCACCAAAAAAAAUCCAGAAGCCAUGGUAUUUAGCUCUUUCCAUCUUUCUUGCCUCCUGCAGGUGGGAGAGUACUGAGUAUGAUGCCCUCCUACAGCCUCUGGAGGACAUGCCAGUGCCUAGAGGUACCAGUAGAGAGGGGCCAUGAAAGAGCAGAUGACAGCCAGGUGGCUGGGAAUGACAUUGUCCUGGGGUUUAUUGCUUGUCAUGAACUCUGCCACCGGGCAAUAUGUACGGGUCUGGACCCGUGCCUUCUCUGGAUCCCUGCCCCAUCAGCCAGCUAUCUUAUCUCCUGAAAGCUGGUAGGUGUUGGUCAGCAUGGUGUUGCAGGACCAGGGUUAUAUUAACAUUCCCUCUUAGGCUGAAACACCAGAAGUUAACACAGGAGUCUCCAGGUGUGCACAUGCCAACGUCCAGAUUGUUUUUCUUCUCAUUCUAGAUGUUCAUCCUUGCUUUCUGGGACUUGAAAUAACCCUACACUGCCAAAUAUUUAUGCCCAUUAUCCACUUAGGAAAACUCAUUAUGUCCCAAGUCCAUAGGGUUAGUAUUAUUAUCAGUAUUAUAACCACUAGUACUAGUAUCAUGAUGAUCAUCAUUCCUGUUAAUAUUCAUCAAUAUUUUUAUUACUACCAUUGUUAAUAUGGAUUUUUCAUUAUUGUACAGCAAGGAAUAUAGUUUAUCCAUUCACAAAUGGUGUUCAGUUACUAAAGAUGACCACAAGGCAUGCUCUGCAGACAUAUACACACACAGCUGUCCUGGAGACCCAGCUUUGCCACCAAUUGCUCUUUCAUAAGAUGAGCUCCCCCUAUACCCACCAGUUUUUCACGACUUGACCUGAGCUGGUUGGGCUAGACCUGGAAAAGCUUCCUAUUCUCAGCUGUACCUGGAAAAAUUUUAAAGACUCUUCGGAGGCCCAGUAAUAGCUUUUGGCAGCUUCCACGACCAGGGAGGGUUUCUUGGCCAUUCAGAGCCAUUCAAAUAUUCUAAGUAAACUCAAGGAACCGGAAACCCCACUUGCAGUCAUGAAAUACCAGUGAAUGGCCUCUGUGAGUCUCUUCAAGUUUUUCAAAGAUAACCGCCUGGAAAGGCUGGCCAGGAAGUCACCCAAGCCCACCCCUCUGCAGGAUGUUCUAUGUCAGCCAGGGACCCAGUGAAAUGCCAUUGAAUAGAAGCGUGGAACAGAGACAGCAUGCCUGAGCUUCUGGAAACAUUCUAAGUGCCCUUGUUGGCCCAGAAAAGACUGGUGCUGCCAUACGAGGCACAGAUAUGGCAACUUAGCCACUCGAGGAACCACACAAGGUUUAAAAGCUCCCAGGAAGUCCAGGAAGGGCAAACAUGGCCUUUUAGAGCCAUCAGAUUUUAUUCUAAGUCUACGUGGGAGACAGUGCACUUGGCUUCAUAAAAACACCAGUGGAGGUGCUAUCACCUGCCCCAGUAUCCGGUCUUUUCCACCUCAUCUCAGAGCCAGGCAGCCACCAUUUCCCAAAGCUGCUGUGCAAUGAAAGGGGAAUAUUCUAGGUGCUCUCCUGUGCCCACGAAAUUCUGUGGCUGCACUAAAGGCAGAAGUUGUCCUCCGGAAUGCUCUUCAGGAAUCUGACAACACUAGUCAAGAUUAAAGAUGUUCAAUUCAACGUCACACAAAACCAAUCACAAAAAAAAAAAAGCAUAGUGAGACAAAAUGAUGAACACAUCUGCUAAUAAUCAUGAAUGACAAUAACAACAAUGAUGAUCUUAGUGAUAAUGCCACCAACACUGUUAAUGGCAGUAACAAUAAACCUGAGGUAAUGGGUGUUAGGGUCCCGAUUCACCGAUGUGAAGGAUGGCGCCAAUUUCUGGCCUUACAGAAAUAAAGGAAAAGUAAACACCUGAAGGAGGAGAAGGUGAACCUGGAGCUCCCGCCGGCCUCUGGGGGCUCCUUGGUGGAAGGAGAGGGACUUGGUCCUGAGUCUGCACAGGAUCCACCCGCACCAGAACCCGGGAGUCCCAGUCCCUGGAUGGGAGCCCGGAGCCCGGGUCCUCCAGCCCUCGCUGCCGCCGCUCCUCGCGGAGCCCGGACCCCCGCGCCACCUCAGCCUCAGCGCGGCUCUGCGAGGGCAGCUCAAGGAUGCUCCGGGCCCAGCGGGGCAUCCGGCCCCAACAGGAUACUGACGCCCUGAGGGCGCGAAAUAGCGCGGCCUGAGCAGGGCCCGCCAUCUUGGGCCUUGCAAAAAGAGCGGCCUCUUCAACGCCCCCACCCGGAACCUCCCCAGAGGCCCCAGCCCCAAAGCCAGGGCGGCGGCGCGUCCCUCACCCUGGGUAAAGAAACCUCAGGUCUUCCGUGGAGACCUGGCUCGCCGCGGGAAGCAGACCGCGCAU
ensembl:lncRNA